UACCAGCACCCCGAGUGGUCGGGACGAUUAUUGGGCCUAAAGCAUCCGUAGCCGGUUUUACAAGUCCUCCGUUAAAUCCAGCUGCUUAACAGAUGGGCUGCGGAGGAUACUAUAAGACUAGGAGGCAGGAGAGGCAAGCGGUACUCAGUGGGUAGGGGUAAAAUCCGUUGAUCCAUUGAAGACCACCAGUGGCGAAGGCGGCUUGCCAGAACGCACUCGACGGUGAGGGAUGAAAGCUGGGGGAGCAAGCCGG
rnacentral:rRNA from 1 species